CCUACGGGGGGCUGCAGUGGGGAAUAUUGGACAAUGGGGGGAACCCUGAUCCAGCCAUGCCGCGUGUGUGAAGAAGGCCCUCGGGUUGUAAAGCACUUUCAGUGAGGAAGAACGCCUGGUGGUUAAUACCCAUCAGGAAAGACAUCACUCACAGAAGAAGCACCGGCUAACUCCGUGCCAGCAGCCGCGGUAAUACGGAGGGUUCGAGCGUUAAUCGGAAUUACUGGGCGUAAAGCGCGCGUAGGUGGCUUGAUAAGCCGGUUGUGAAAGCCCCGGGCUCAACCUGGGAACGGCAUCCGGAACUGUCAAGCUAGAGUGCAGGAGAGGAAGGUAGAAUUCCCGGUGUAGCGGUGAAAUGCGUAGAGAUCGGGAGGAAUACCAGUGGCGAAGGCGGCCUUCUGGACUGACACUGACACUGAGGUGCGAAAGCGUGGGUAGCAAACAGGAUUAGAUACCCGAGUAGUC
rnacentral:rRNA from 1 species